rnacentral:rRNA from 1 species
CCUACGGGAGGCAGCAGUGAGGAAUAUUGGUCAAUGGGCGCGAGCCUGAACCAGCCAAGUCGCGUGAGGGAAGACGGUCCUAUGGAUUGUAAACCUCUUUUGUCGGGGAGCAAAAGACGCCACGCGUGGCGUUCCGAGAGUACCCGAAGAAAAAGCAUCGGCUAACUCCGUGCCAGCAGCCGCGGUAAUACGGAGGAUGUGAGGGUUAUCCGGAUUUAUUGGGUUGAAAGGGUGCGCAGGCGGAAGACAAAGUCAGCGGGAAAAUUCAGAGGCUCACCCUCUUCGAGCCGUUGAAACUGGUUUUCUUGAGUGCGUGAGAGGUAUGCGGAAUGCGUGGUGUAGCGGUGAAAUGCAUAGAUAUCACGCAGAACUCCGAUUGCGAAGGCAGCAUACCGGCGCUCAACUGACGCUCAUGCACGAAAGUGUGGGUAUCGAACAGGAUUAGAUACCCGUCUAGUC